GACAGAGAUCAUGGAGAACUCGUCAAAUUCCAUCGUCAAUCAUAUGCUAGAUUAGCUCGAUUCGAGUUCAUUUGUGAAUCUCGUGGAAACUCCUUUCCAGUAUUCACACUUGCUUUGGCCAAAGAUUUUCUGAACUCAGUCUCAUAAAUCGCAUAAAACUUCUCCUUUUCUAUCAAGAUUGAUAGAUUUCUUCUAGGAGCAUCCUACUCCUAAUAGCGAACUUGAACCUACUGAAGCCAAUAUACACAACAAGAACCC
rnacentral:lncRNA from 1 species